rnacentral:rRNA from 1 species
GUUACAGCCGCCGCGGUAAUACAGAGGUCCCAAGCGUUGUUCGGAUUCACUGGGCGUAAAGGGUGCGUAGGUGGCGCUUCAAGUUUGAUGUGAAAGCUCAGGGCUUAACCCUGAAAUGGCAUUGAAUACUGGGGUGCUGGAGGUUUGGAGGGGGGACUGGAAUUCUCGGUGUAGCAGUGAAAUGCGUAGAUAUCGAGAGGAACACCAGUGGCGAAGGCGAGUCCCUGGACAACACCUGACACUGAGGCACGAAAGCCGGGGGAGCAAACAGGAUUAGAAACCCGGGUAGUCC